rfam:Vagococcus lutrae LBD1 adhBo-supercont1.19, whole genome shotgun sequence.
CGCGGGAUGGAGCAGUUGGCAGCUCGUCGGGCUCAUAACCCGAAGGUCGUAGGUUCAAGUCCUACUCCCGCAA